rnacentral:rRNA from 1 species
UACGGAGGGGGCGAGCGUUAUUCGGAAUCAUUGGGCGUAAAGGGCGCGUAGGCGGCCCCGUAAGUCUUGGGUGAAAGCCCUCGGCUCAACCGAGGAAUUGCCUUGGAUACUGCGGGGCUCGAGGCUGGAAGAGGGCAGUGGAAUUCCCGGUGUUGCGGUGAAAUGCGUAGAUAUCGGGAGGAACACCAGUGGCGAAGGCGGCUGCCUGGGCCAGUUCUGACGCUGAGGCGCGAAAGCGUGGGGAGCAAACAGG